CUUUAAUAUUUAAUCCUGCUUAGCCAAACACAAAACGUAUAAUUCACAUUCAGAUUGGUUACGAAUUCUCACGUUUAAGUGCUGAAGUACUUGAAAAGGAGUAAACGUUCAUUUUUUUUUUUUUUUGCAGAAGUUUCUGUUUUUCAUACUUGCAGACGUUUUCAUCGAUUCUCCAUAGCUGAAGAGACUAAGGAUUUAAAAAAAAAAUUUUUUUUUACACCUGCACUUCGCUGCAAAGUCGUAGUUUUGUCGCAGCCCUCAUUAAAACACGAAAGGUGAAGAGUUCUACAAGGUGGCCAUCUGAGGUUAGACACUGUGCUGCUCUGUCAGAGACCACAAAAUGCCAACAAGUGAAGUUGAGCCAAUUUCCUCCAUUUCAACUUGAGAAGCACCCAGGGAGAGGAUGACAUCACUGCGGUGGCCGGUAGAAUGCAGACUAAGGCGGCUGUGGACUCGGGCGGCUGCAGAUACAGAGGACCACAGCAUGGGGGAUCUUACUCCCACGGUGAAGGAAGAGAACAUUAGAUUAAAAUCAUCCAGGAAUAAUGACUGUCUGUCAUCAAGAUGUUGCUCAAACUUUUAAUUAAAAGCAGAAAUAGUAACUCUUUAUAUGGCCAGUAUAACACUUAGUUUGAGAGGAAAGAGAAAGGAAAGGGAAAGGGGGAUACCUAGUCAGUUGUAUAACUGAAUGCAUUCAUUUGAAAUGUCUUCCACAUUUAACCAGACAGAGAAUGCUACCCAAAUGUCACCUUUUUGCCUUUAUAGGGCACUAGGGUAUAGGGUGCCAUUUUGAACGCAAUAGAUUGUAGAGAAGACAGGAGAAGAUAGGAGAAGACUGCCUUUAAUGAUCUUCAACAAAUUUGUCACCAUUAGCUAACUCUUCCAAACAAAAUGCGUUUGCAUUUCAUAAAUAUAAUAUAUACCACUUAGCCGGCUCUUUUAUCCUAACGUCACUUUUUUUGAGUGGAAACAGCGCUGUUGUAAAAAAGGCCAUUUUUUAUGUUGCACUACAAUCUCCUUCUGGAUCCUGUGUGUACUGCCUCUGCCUCUCUCUCUCUCUCUCUCUCUCUCUGAUUUAACAGCAUGUGUUAUGAGAAUAAAAGUUUUCACGUGUUCUGAAAAUAAACAUUUUG